rnacentral:rRNA from 1 species
ACAGAGGCCACAAGCGCUAGGCGGAAUCACUGGGCUUAAAGCGUGUGUAGGCGGAUCGUUAAGUGCCUUGUGAAAUCCCACGGCUCACCCGUGGAACGGCUGGGCAUACUGGCGAUCUUGAGCCAUCUAGGGGCGACUGGAACAAACGGUGGAGCGGUGAAAUGCGUAGAUAUCGUUUGGAACGCCAGCGGUGAAAACAGGUCGCUGGGGAUGUGCUGACGCUGAGACACGAAAGCCAGGGGAGCAAACGG